AACACGUGUGCAAUACGUGUCCAUUUCCUCUGUAAAAUAGAAAAUGAUCAAGGAUUUCUUUAAUAGCAUUUCCCUACGAAAAAAAUUUCAGAGGUCGAGAAAGGACGUUUUGUUUUGUGGUCGUAUGACGAAAAGAAUAGCUACAGCUGGCACCAAUUUUUCAAGGACAGUUUUGAAAUACGAACCAGCGCACGUGUUUUUACUAGCCAUACCCUAAACGAAACUCAAUUAAGUUACAUACUUAGUCGCACUGGAUAAAAGUUAUGAGCGGCGCUUUCUUAUCCGGCAAUUGGAAGAAAAGUCAAGUUUUAUUCUUUUGUGGAUGCAUAACCUCAAAUGGAUGAAACCAUCAGAUGAAACUGCGGUCUUGCCCCCAGUGUUAAUGCGAUUUCAACUUCGGAUUGGCUAACCGUCGUAAAACAAGAAUAAGAGUGGGAGGAAUGGGGCGAUUCCGGCGCCAUUUUUUCGGGAUGGAUCGAUCCGUCGAUUAACAUUCGAAGCUAGGACAGAACAUAGAAGGAAUGCAUAAAUCACGGAAACAAUAGCAAAUAUUGUAUUUUUUUAAACAUCUCCUCUGUUAAUUGAUUGCCAAUGUUUGUGAGUAAUGGGACAAUUGACAUAAAAGUAUAUAAGAAAAAAGA